rnacentral:rRNA from 1 species
GACGAACGCUGGCGGCGUGCUUAACACAUGCAAGUCGAACGGAAAGGCCCUGCUUGCCGGGUACUCGAGUGGCGAACGGGUGAGUAACACGUGGGUGAUCUGCCCUGCACUUCGGGAUAAGCCUGGGAAACUGGGCCUAAUACCGGAUAGGAGCCAGUUUUAGUGUGAUGGUUGGAAAGUUUUGUCGGUGUAGGAUGAGCUCGCGGCCUAUCAGCUUGUUGGUGGGGUAAUGGCCUACCAAGGCGGCGACGGGUAGCCGGCCUGAGAGGGUGGGCGGCCACAUUGGGACUGAGAUACGGCCCAGACUCCUACGGGAGGCAGCAGUGUGGAAUAUUGCACAAUGGGCGCAAGCCUGAUGCAGCGACGCCGCGUGGGGGAGGACGGCCUUCUGGUUGUAAACUCCUUUCGCUAGGGACGAAGCGUUUUGUGACGGUACCUAGAGAAGAAGCACCGGCUAACUACGUG